UGCCAGUUUAUUUCUGUAUUAGCACUUUUACUAUUCUGUUGUUUCUGUAUUUGAAUGUUAACAGCAAGACGGAACUAAUUAUUGGUUCCGCCCGGAGGUUUCCGGCCGGGCGCUUUUGAGCGAUGCACUGAGAAAAACUUUACGGCGAAAGAGACUGAUUAUUCCGCUGUUGUAGUGUUUAAGUGGAUAAAUUUACAAGAAAAUAGACAGAAGAUGAUACAGGAGAUCUGAAAGGAUGUUUAGCACCUCUUUGUGAUAAGCAGCAAUGAGGUUUGUUAACUGUAAAUUUUACUAUAAGGGUGUUUGUGUUGAUAUAUGUUUUCAUGUGCCAUUUUUUUCUGAUGUAUAACAUAUAAAGUAUCUAGCUGUAAAUGGCUGGAUUGUAACACAAUAUGUUGAGACAUGCAUAUAGCAUUAUUUUGUUAAUUUGUUAAUUUUCUUUCUUCAAACCAGUUCUCACGGGUUGACCAACAUUAAAACCCUGUAUUUUAAUCAAGACCUCUUGCCUCAUGCCUGUCACUGGGGGAGCUACAGUGAGAACUCAUCUGCUCUGCAUGAGUAGACGAGGAAGACAGUACCAAAGAGCUGUGAUCCAUGGGCAAGAAGGGACAUCUCUACAUCCAAGAGUGUGCAUCUGCCCCUGACAUUUACACAUCUGCAGCAUCCAUAGAAAAAUCCAGGUGCCCUACCACGAAUCCAGCUGAAGCCAAAAAGCUUAAAUAUUUUCCACAAGAGACUGUGACAUAUUUUUGCCUUCAUAUUCAUACGGUAUAGUUGUGUGCAUGCUUAAGUGUUAACUAAGCUGCAAGUAAGAGACUUGAAUGAAAAUGUUCUGCAUAAUAGACUGAAUUUUGCAUUUCACAGAAUAACGGGAUAUUGAUUUGUGUGAAGUAGAUGUGAAUAUUUUCUAAAGACUAAUACUAGUGGUAGAAAGUUUAUGAAUGUGAAUAGCUUAUGAGAAGUGAAUCACUUAGCUUCUUGCCAAAUUACAUUUAACCCAAAAUUAAGUACACCAAGUAACAAUGUCAGAGCCUAGUCAUACCUCUAGCAGAAAGCAGGUUAGUGCAGGGAAAAAUGUAGAGCAGCAGUGCAUAGACAUACAACCACAGGCCACUAAAGGCACAAGAGCUGAAGACCACACUUCCUCACAAGAACCUAGAAGAAGCCAAAGAGUCCGAAAAUUAACGGAAAAGGGCCAAGAACUGUACAGUGAGCAAAUAAGAAGAUUUGCUCACAGUUUCACUGUGAGAUAUGAGGAGUGGAAGGCUAUCGCUAAGGACGCCAAGCGAGCCCUGAGUGGACAAUGCUCUAACAACCUGCUACAUGAAUACAUCAGCAAAGUAAGCGUAGCUUCAAAAAAUCUGAACAUUGCUUAUGAAGAGUUGAGGCACAUAGAUAACCCUGAUCAGGACACACGUCGCAGAAUUGACACCUGUGAUGCAGUAACCAGGAAGAUCAUCCAAAGUGCAAAAGAUCGUUUGGAGACAGCAGAUAAUGGUGGAGGAAAUGAAGAACAAGGCCACAGGGCGACAUCGUCUAUAUUCAAGUCUGUAGCAUCAGACAAGAUAAGUGUCAGAUCCCAAUUCACAAAGUCCUCUCAUGCUCAAGGCAGCUCCAGACAUUCAAGUCAGAUUUCUGCUAGCAGACAAGAUGCCGCUGCUGAAGUUGCUGCCAAUGAAGCUACUCUAGAAGUACUACUAGAACAAGAGUGUUGCAUUGAGGAAUUGGAAAAGCUUGAAGCUGAAGCUGCAGAGAGACAAAAGGUGCUAGAAGCAAAGCGCAGACAACUGGAGCGACUAGAAACAGUUAAAAAGUUAAAAGCUGCUAAGGCACGUCAGCGAGUGUAUGAUCAGAGUCAGUGCUCAGAUGAAGAAAUAAGCAGUCUACUCCAUCAAAGUGUCUGUAUUAAGGAAAGGGAAGAAGUGAAACAUGAAAAUAAUCUGUUGCAGCACCAUUCCUCACCACAAGACUGGGGACACUCAAAGCAAGAUGACAGCACAGCAGCUCUUGUUAGAGCACUUGCAGAGUCCAUCAGUGCAGGUCGUCUUCCGAUACCUGAACCAACAAUAUUCAGUGGCGACCCACUCAGAUUCAAUGACUGGAAGGUUUCGUUUCAGACACUCAUUGAUCGGAAAAACAUUCCAACUGAAGAAAAGAUAUAUUACUUGCGAAAGUAUGUGAGUGGACCUGCUAAAAAGGCUAUAGAGAGCUACUUCCUGCUUGGUUCAGAAUCAGCCUAUCAUGCAGCAUGGAGGAUCCUCGAGGAAAGAUAUGGGAAUCCAUUCCUCAUAGCCAAAGCUUUCAGAGACAAGCUGGAGGGAUGGCCCAAGAUAAGCUCUAAAAGCAGUAUCGAACUUCAAGAGUUUGCUGAUUUCCUGCGGAGCUGUGAGGCAGCUAUGACUCAGAUCAGAGGCCUCAAUGUACUUAAUGACUGCAAUGAGAACCAGAAGUUACUUGCAAAACUUCCAGACUGGCUGACUUCGAGAUGGAACAGAAAGGUAAUUGAAGUGGAGGAAGAAAGUCACACAUUCCCAAGCUUCCAGCAGUUUGUAGAGUUUCUCACACGUGAAGCUAAGAUUGCAAAUAACCCAAUAACAUCUUUCCAUGCUCUGAAACCUGCUGAAGAUAAGCAGAUCAAAGUUUUAAAGAACAGAGCUGUAGGAGCUAAAGUACUAGCAACUAACUCGGAUGAAAAGGCUUCCUCCACAAGCUGUUUCUUUUGUGAGAAGUCAGGUCACAGUUUACACAAGUGUUGGAAAUUUAUGGAUAAGACCAUCUCUGAGCGAAUCAAGUUUGUUCAAGGGAUGAAGUUGUGCUUUGGCUGUCUGAAGCCUGGCCAUCGCUCAAAGGAGUGUGAAAAUAGGAAGAUCUGCGACACUUGUGAGAAAGGACAUCCAACCUGCCUACACGAUAAUCGCAGCAAAGAAAGAGGAAGGUCAACAAGGAUUGGAAGGGAAAUGGAGCGUGACAAGUCAAGAGAAGAAACAACAGAUCGUUCACAAGAAAAGAUGACAAGAACACCACGCGAGGUAACAUCUAACAGAGUUAUCCAGAAUGUUAAAAGCACCCAUACAUCCUCAGUCAUUCCUGUGUGGUUGUCAACUACAAGUAAGCCAAAUCAUGAAGUUCUUGUGUACGCACUCCUCGAUACACAGAGUGACACGACCUUCAUCCUUGAAGAGACAGCAAAGGUGCUUCACACUAAAGAUGAACCAGUCCAGUUAAAGCUCUCCACGAUGACUUCAAGAAAUACAGUGGUGCCUAGCAGAAAGCUGACUGGUCUACAAAUAAGAGGAUUCUACUCGGAUAAGAUAAUCUCUCUGCCAGUAACUUACUCAAGAGAAUUCAUCCCUGCAAACAGAGAUCAUAUUCCCACACCAGAGACUGCCAAGUCAUGGUCUCACCUUGAGCACAUUGCAGAUGAAAUUGCUCCUCUACAGAGCUGUGAUGUCGGCCUGCUAAUUGGCUACAACUGUCCUCAGGCUCUUGUACCAAGACAAGUGGUUGCUGGAGAAGAAAGUGAGCCCUUUGCUCAGAGAACAGACCUGGGUUGGAGUAUAGUUGGUUAUGGCAACCCAUGUCUUGACUUUGGAGAUGCUUUUGGAACAAGUCACCAGGUCAUUGUGCAGCAAGUGAUAUCAGUUCUUCCAAAUCUCCCAAGCGAAGUGCACUAUGUCUGUAAAACACAGAUCAAGGAAGUAAUCCUUCCAACAGAUGUCAUCAAGGUGUUGGAAUCUGAUUUUGCAGAAAGGGCUUCGGAAGAUGAACACCUUUCUCAAGAGGAUCUUCAGUUCAUGUCAAUUAUGGAAAGUGGCAUCAGACUCAAGGAUGACGGGCACUAUGAAAUGCCACUUCCCUUCAAGAAAGUAAGACCAAACUUACCAGAUAACAAGAUAUGUGGCAUCCACCGUCUCAGAUGUCUGGAGAAAAAGUUAAAGGGAAAUGAGCAGUACUACAAAGACUAUAAGGCCUUCAUGGAUGAGACAAUAGCUCAUGGAUAUGCCGAGCUUGUCCCUGAAGAGGAUAUCAGUAAGACUCCAGUGUGGUACAUUCCCCACCAUGGGGUGUAUCAUCCCCAAAAGCCUGGUAAGAUCCGUGUCGUUUUUGACUGCUCCGUAAGGUUUCAAGGGACAUCCCUAAAUGACCAUCUCCUGACUGGCCCAGAGUUAACGAACACCUUGGUGGGAGUUUUGUGUCGGUUCAGAAAGGGUUGUGUGGCAGUUAUGUGUGACAUAGAACAAAUGUUCCAUCAGUUCCAUGUUAAGAAAGAAGACCAAGAUUAUCUCAGAUUCUUGUGGUGGAAGGAUGGAGAUCUUAAAGCCCAGCCCUCCAUCUAUCGAAUGAAGGUCCACUUGUUCGGUGCAGCUUCAUCACCUGGAUGUGCUAACUAUGGCCUGAAGCAUCUUGCCGCUCAAGGACAAGAACGCUUUAGAGAAGAAACCAUCAGGUUCAUCCAGAGGAACUUUUACGUCGAUGAUGGAUUGACAAGCGUAGAAUCUGAAGACCAAGCAAUCCAACUAGUGAAGGAAGCAAGAGAGCUUUGUUGCACAGGCAAACUUCGAUUACACAAGUUCAUCUCCAACAGCAGAGAAGUCUUAGCCACAAUUCCUGAGGAAGAGUGUGCUAAAGCUGUCAAGGAUUUGACCAUGAUGUUGGGAGAACCACUAAUGGAAAGAGCACUGGGGGUACAGUGGUGUGUGACUUCUGAUGAGCUGCAAUUCAGAGUGGUUGUUAAAGAAUAUCCACUUACACGCAGAGGGGUCCUGUCCACAGUUGCCUCUGUGUAUGACCCACUUGGAUUUGUGGCACCCUUCAUCCUGGUAGGAAAGCAAAUCCUGCAGCAGAUGUGUCGUGAUAAGCUCAGUUGGGAUGAUCCUUUGUCUGAUGACCUUCGACCCCUGUGGGAGUCUUGGGUGCAAGAUCUAAAAAACUUGGCUGAGGUGAGAGUCCAAAGAUGCUACCUGCCAUCAGGCUUUAAGGUCCAGCACUAUGAGCUCCACCACUUCUCUGACGCCAGCGUGUCAGGCUAUGGAGAGAGCUCAUAUUUAAGAGCAGUCAGUACAUCAGGUGAGGUCCACUGCUCCUUAGUCAUGGGAAAGUCAAGAGUUGCCCCUACUAAAGUCAUGACUAUACCAAGACUCGAGCUGUCAGCAGCAGUGGUAGCAGUCCGGACCAGUGACAUGCUCAAGAAAGAACUAGAAAUAGACUGCCAACAAGAAUGUUUCUGGACUGAUUCAAAGGUUGUACUUGGGUACAUCAGUAAUGAAGCCAGAAGAUUUCAUGUUUUUGUAGCAAAUAGAGUUGAGCGCAUCAAACUAAGUACAGAGGCUGGACAAUGGAGAUAUGUAGCUUCAGAAGACAACCCAGCUGACCACGCCUCAAGGGGUGCCACGGCAAAACAACUCAAAGAUUCUAACUGGUUCACAGGUCCAGACUUUCUUUGGCAGAAAGAGUUACCAACUGGAGUUGUCAUGGUGGGAGAGAUCGAGAGCAACGACCCAGAGGUCAAGAAAGCUCAGGUUCAUGACACUCAGGCAAAAGAAGCAAGAAUACUUCUAGAGCGUCUACACAAAUUCUCAGACUGGGCAAGAUUGGUGAAAGCUGUUGCCAGACUCAAGCGCCGUGCUAAGGAAAUCAAAGAUCUCAAGCCAAAGUCCUGUGAGGCCUCAAGCUUGGAGGAAAGGAAAGAGGCGGAGCUGACCAUAAUCAAGAUGGUGCAGGAAGCAACUCUCUUUCAAGAAAUUCAACGCCUUAAACAUCAUAAAGAGACAAACCUUAAAGACAAAGCCAACCAGCUGCACAAACUAUGUCCGUUCCUAGAUGAUCAAGGCGUAAUCAGAGUAGGAGGCCGCUUAGCUCAUGCUGCCCUACAUCCACAUGUGAGGCAUCCAGCAAUCCUUCCUAGAGACAGUCAUGUUUCUGCAUUGCUCAUCAAGCACUAUCAUGAAAGAGUAUACCAUCAAGGUCGAGGAAUGACUAUUAAUGAGCUCCGAGCCAAUGGCAUAUGGAUCCUGGGUUGCAGCAAGCUUGUUUCAUCCCAUAUUCACAAGUGCACAAGUUGCAGAAAGUUCCGAAGGUGCACAGAGCAACAAAGGAUGGCAUACCUUCCAGAAGAGCGGAUGGAAACAACUGCUCCAUUCACUUACUGUGGAAUGGACUGCUUCGGACCGUUUCAUAUUAAGGAAGGAAGAAAGGAGCUAAAGCGUUAUGGGCUGUUACUCACCUGCAUGUGUUCUAGAGGAGUUCACAUUGAAGCACUUGAUGACUUGACCUCAGAUGCCUUUAUUAAUGCUCUGCGUUCAUUCAUCGCCAUUCGUGGAUCAGUAAGGCAGAUAAGGUGUGAUCAAGGGACAAACUUUGUUGGAGCAAGGCGUGAGUUAAUUGAAGCAUUGAAACAGAUGGAUCAAGAGGAGCUCAAAGAUUUGGGGUGCGAGUUCGUCAUGAACACCCCGGCCUCAAGUCAUAUGGGUGGGGUCUGGGAAAGACAGAUCCGCACUAUCAGAAGUGUCCUGGCGUCCAUUCUACAACAGUCGUCCAGACAACUUGACUCCUCUUCCCUACGAACAUUUCUAUAUGAGGCCAUGGCGGUUGUGAAUAGCAGACCUCUAACCACUGAUCAUUUGAAUGAUUCUACUAGUCCAGAGCCCUUGACACCAAACCACAUCUUGACCAUGAAAUCCACAAUCAUUCUCCCUCCUCCUGGAAAGUUUGUCAAGGAGGAUCUCUACCUCCGCAAGAGAUGGCGCAGAGUUCAACUUUUAACCAACAACUUUUGGGUACGAUGGAGAAAGGAGUACCUCUUAAAUCUCCAACACAGACAGAAGUGGACCAAAAAUCGCAGAAAUGCAAAGGUCGGAGACAUUGUUUUGUUGCAAGAUGCGGCUACUCCACGAAACCAAUGGAAGCUAGCAAGAGUCAUCGAGGUGUAUCCUGGAAGCGAUGAAAGAGUGAGGAGACUCAAGUUACUCAUCAGUGACUCCUCCCUGGAUGGAAGAGGAAAGCGUACAUCCAAACCUGUUUACCUGGAGAGACCCAUUCAGAAAACAGUUACAUUGGUAGAAGCAGACUGAUGGUUCUAUCAUACACUCAAACACAGUUUAUUAGUUGUUUAUUAGGAUUGAGUUCAUUUACUUUAUUCAUGCAAUAUGUUUGUCUCCAAGUUUAAGAAAUCACUUGUGAUUUGGUGGGAGUGUAACUGCCUGAUGCCAGUUUAUUUCUGUAUUAGCACUUUUACUAUUCUGUUGUUUCUGUAUUUGAAUGUUAACAGCAAGACGGAACUAAUUAUUGGUUCCGCCCGGAGGUUUCCGGCCGGGCGCUUUUGAGCGAUGCACUGAGAAAAACUUUACGGCGAAAGAGACUGAUUAUUCCGCUGUUGUAGUGUUUAAGUGGAUAAAUUUACAAGAAAAUAGACAGAAGAUGAUACGGGAGAUCUGAAAGGAUGUUUAGCACCUCUUUGUGAUAAGCAGCAAUGAGUUCUCACGGGUUGACCAACAUUAAAACCCUGUAUUUUAAUCAAGACCUCUUGCCUCAUGCCUGUCACUGGGGGAGCUACAAUAAGAUUUGCAAUCUUGCAAAAUGUAAAAAAAAUAAAACUAU